rnacentral:lncRNA from 1 species
CUCUUAUCAUUUUUGUAAUGCCAAUAUUUUUUUUCAGUAAAUUUUCACUUUGUUGUCUAUUGCUUUGUUCUCAAAUUGAGAACCCAAAAUCUGCACUACUCACUAACUCAAGUUGUUUUGCAUAUUAUGUUGUGCAAUACUCUUGAUAUAUUCAAAGUUCAUGUAUUUUCAUAUCAUCCUCUCUACCUCUUUUGUUUUUUUAUCUAAAUCUUUUUAAAUCACAAUACUUUGGUUUUUGUUUGUUUACAAUGUUUGAUCUACUUCUACUAUAUUUUAAACGUAUAGCUUUUGUCUUUUCUAUGAUCACUUGCGCUUGCAAGUUAUUAUCUUUCACCUUGGAGUGAGAGACUACAUUGAUUAGAAUUUAGAACCUACUACUUUUUAUUUUCUAAAAUCAACAUUGCAUUGUAGUCUUGGAAAAGUGAAAAUAAUGAAUCUAAAGAAUGCUUUGCCUUUGAUAAGGUAAUAUAGGUUUCCAUUACCUCUGUUUCAGGCUUGAUUUUUAUUUAAACUGACGAUGUUUGAUUCGAAAACGAUGCUUCUACUCUUAAACUAAAAUGUUUUCCUUUUAAUUAGUCUGUGUUGUUUAAUGUUACUGGAGAUUUUAUUGUGUGAAUCAACUUAUAUUAGAGAUAUCCAAAUAUUAGUCCCUAAAAUUAAUCAUUGUAUUUUUUAUUUUGUACGGGCAUACUGUAAACUAAAUGACGAUCGUCUGUUUGCAGUUGACAUAGAAGAGAGGGUGUGAAAGGCACAAGUUACUUGGGUUAGUAUCUUUUACAAGCCUAUCAUGAUUUCAUUUUCACACUAAUGCCUUUUCAGCUAUGUUUGCAAUUCUACAUGGAUUUAAUGUUUGUUUUUUGUGGCUUAUUGUUUUUUGAUGCAGAAAAAUUUGCAUAGAAAGAAGCGCAGAAAGUUGGAAGCAGAUAGAGAGAUGUUGGAGGAUGACGAGCAAGAUGACAAACCAAAAGUAAGCCCUCGUUACCUGUUAACUUUAUAUGGUUAAGGCUGGGAUGUAUUUGUUAUUCCUCACUUUCUGUUCCGCUGAAAUUGAAAUGCAUAAAAUUGCAGGGUGAGGGGACAGAUAAGAAUGAAAAGGCUGGAUUGACACAUGCUGAUCUUGCUUACCGACCUGCAAACGCAGGAAAGGCCACCACCAAGAGGGCACUAGACUCUGACAAGAUUUUGAAGAAGCCUCAAAAGAAAUCUAAUAAAUCUAAUCCUUUGCGAAAGCCUUCCUCUUCAAGGACAGAAGAAAUGCGGAGCUAUUCCAGACGAAGGAUAAAAAGCCAUAAUAGAGAGGUUCUGGAACAGGAAAGAAGGCGAAGAAGUCAUUCAAAAGCAAGUCACGGUAUCAAUUAAAAAAUCUAUCUCAUUUUUUAAACUCUUAUCUGAUCCUUUUAGUCAUCGAUAAAGAUAUUAAUUUCGUUCUUGAUCAACUCAUAAAAAUGUCUUUUGUUUCUGUUAUGUGAUUGAUGUGAGGCUUUCUAGAGGGGAACUUAACAAAUAAUGAUAUAAUCCUUUUCAUGAUCUUGGUGCUAAAAAAAAGGUCUAAACAUUUUUACUUAAUAUCCACCAUAACUCUCCCAGGUAUUUAUGUGCCUAUAGUAACUAUGUUGUUCAUAGUUGUAGUUUCCAUGUGUUUUGGGUUUUAUUUUUGUCUGUCCCCAUAUACUACCUAGGAGAUGCUGCUUUGUUUUCCAACUUUACCCUUUUAUCAAAAUUCAAAUACUUUCAUACCCCUCCAAUCAAAACAACAUCUCGCAUAACAUAUUAAUCUCUAGGCAGCGAUUUCCUUUCCUUUAUUUCUCCAAUUCUCUAACUGCUAUUUUCUUCUUAUUUUCUCGAAAUUUCGGUUGCUGAAUAUUUAGAAAGAUGAGACUUCAAUUUGAAGGAAUUUUCAGAGGAAGAGAGGUAUCGAAAGAGGUUGACUUGGAUUUGAAAGAGGUGAUCUGAGAUACUACAUUUUACGGUGAGAAUCAUCUAAUUCCCAUUAUUUUUUUAUUUUUUUUCCAUUUUCAGUGUGGAAAAUUGACAUAAUUUCUAUUGCAUUUCAAUCUUCUAACUUUACUUUGUUUUCAUUUUUUUUUCAGAAAAGUGGUUUUGUUUAUCAAUCACAAGUUUCAUAACACUGGCAGGGUUGCAAAGCAGCUCUCUUGUAAUUUUUGUAAUGCCAAUAUUUUUUUUCAGUAAAUUUUCUAUUUGUUGUCUAUGGUUUUGUUCUCAAAUUGAGAACCCAAAAUUUGCACUACUCACUAACUCAAGUUGUUUUGCAUAUUAUGUCGUGCAAUAUUCUUGAUAUAUUCAAAGUUAAACUAUUUUCAUAUCAUCCUCUCUAACUUUUUUGUUUUUUUAUCUAAAUCUUUUUAAAUCACAAUACUUUGGUUUUUAUCUAAAUCUUCUACUAUAUUUUGAACGUAUAGCUUUUGUCAUUUCUAUGAUCACUUGCUUGCAAGUUAUUAUCUUUCACCUUGGAGUGAGACUACAUUGAUUAGAAUUUAGAACCUACCAUUUUUUAUUUUCUAAAAUCAACAUUGCAUUGUAGUCUUAGAAAAGUGAAAAUAAUGAAUCUGAAGAAUGUUUUGCCUUUGAUAAGGUAAUAAAGGUUUCAAUUACCUCUGUUUCAGGCUUGAUUUUUAUUUAAACUGACGAUGUUUGAUUCCAAAAUGAUGCUUCUACUCUUAAACUAAAAUGUUUUGCUUUUAAUUAGUCUGUGUUGUUUAAUGUUACUGGAGGUUUUAUCGUGUGAUUCGACUUAUAUUAGAGAUAUCCCAAUAUAAUAGUAGGUAAAAUUAAUCAUUGUAUUUUUUAUUUUGCACGGGCAUACCGUAAACUAAAUGAUGAUCGUCUGUUGGCAAUUGGCUAGAAAGAGACUUCUCAGGUAUUUCCACUUCUCUAGUUCUUGCUUAUUUUUCUUCAUCUGGCACUGGCAUAUCUGAGUUAUGACCCAAACUUUACUGACAACAUGGAGGAGGAUAUUGAUGAUGAAGGUCAUGAAGAGGAGGAGGAUGAGUAUGUGGCUAUGUGGUUCACUUAAUUGCCUGUAUGGUAUUCAUAUUUGCACAAUAUUUUUCUUGUUUAUAAUGUCAUAUAUGCAAUAUUAUUUUCCAGCGAGAGUGCAAAUGAAUAUACAGUCAUACAGAUGAUGAAGAUGCCAGCUGGAAAGUUAUGUAACCUAUGUCAUUAUGUAACUGUCAUACCCUAAUUUUGUCCUACCUAUUCCAUAAAUUAUUUUUCAUCUCA